GAAGAAGUAAACUAUUUAAGUUGCGGGAGUCAUGAUCCCGUCAAGUAGGAACACCUUUUUCU
rnacentral:tRNA from 1 species